rnacentral:rRNA from 1 species
AGCAGUAGCCGCGGUAAAACGGAGGGUGCAAGCGUUAAUCGGAAUUACUGGGCGUAAAGCGUGCGUAGGCGGCUUUUUAAGUCGGAUGUGAAAUCCCUGAGCUUAACUUAGGAAUUGCAUUCGAUACUGGGAAGCUAGAGUAUGGGAGAGGAUGGUAGAAUUCCAGGUGUAGCGGUGAAAUGCGUAGAGAUCUGGAGGAAUACCGAUGGCGAAGGCAGCCAUCUGGCCUAAUACUGACGCUGAGGUACGAAAGCAUGGGGAGCAAACAGGAUUAGAGACCCCUGUAGUCCCUGUCUCUUAUAC